GUUGUUUUUAUUUUAUUAUUUUUUUUAUUUAAUAAAAAACAACGACGUGUCUUUUUGUGUUGACAUGAAAUAUUGCCUAUGUUACUUCCACAUACAUUAUUAUUUAAAGUUAAGGUCAAUCACCUACAUGUAGACAAGAGUUAUCUGCUUAGCAACAGAGCAACUAACCACUUCCUUUUUUUUUUGCAGCUCCUCCUCAGAUGCAAAUAAAGCCGACGGUGAAGUUCAGGUCUGUUUCUAUAUCUCUGGGAAGGUCAUGAUGUUCAAGCUAAAUCAAGCAACACUGUUCUUCAUUCAGCUAUUAGUGAUAUGGCAUGUUUUUGCAGAGGUUGCUGAAGAAGGAAACAGAACUGUGUUUGCAUCCAUAGGACACUCAGUGACAUUAACUUGCAACAUAUCCAAAAAAAAUGCAACAUCGAUCACCUGGACAAACAACAGAUCUGUUUUUCAAUAUUCUAUUGCACUGAAUCGCAACUUUUCAAAUUUCUCAUCACAUAGACUGAAAAUAAAUCAUGAGUUCCCCACAAAGCUAAUUAUUUUUAGUGCUCAAUCUGAAGAUGAAGGACUUUAUACAUGUAGCAUAAUAGACAAAAGUGGCCUAAACAGCAUUACAUGGAAUUUAACUGUGUCUGAGAGUCCCAAAGAAUCCACUUCAUCAAAGACUUUUCUAUACAUACUCCCACCUGCAAUUGGAUUCCUUCUAUGUGGCACCAUGCUAGCCAUCUGCUUCUGUAGAAAAGUUACAAUGAGGACACCAAAUCUGGAUCCAGUCAAAAAUAGUCCUCAGUCAGGAGAAGAGGCAGCUCUCCCUCAACCACAAGGUGCCAAUCAGCACUGUGAACGUAGCAAGCGGAGGAGUCAGUAUAUGGAGAGGUGGAAUUCAAUCUAUGAUCACUUCUGAGCUUAUAAGCCUUCCAGUCACAGGGAAUAAGGGGACAACAGGGCUGCUACAGCAUCUUCAACUCAGACACACAGCUCUGGCUGGGAGCACAGCAGUUCCAGUCAUUCACAACACUUUGUUUAAAUGAAGCAGUCAAUUUAAAAAAAGUAAGAAUAAAGGGAAAGGGGAAGGGGAUUAAACAUAAUGUUUCAGAGACAGGAUAAAGGGCCUGCACUAAAGCCCAUCAUUAGAUAAUGAUUAUCUGAAACUGUGAAUCAGACUUUAGAGGUAGAUGUCUUUAAUAAGAAGAGUAUUUGAGAGUAGUGACUUUGAAUUAUUUUAUUUUUUUUAACUAUGAACUUUUUUAUUUAACUAAGCUCACUAAAGCAUUUUCUUUCAAAUAUUCAUCUCAUGCAUAUGGAAUAUUCUCAGAAAACCAGAUGCUUUGCCACUUUUUUUGAGUAGAAGUAUAUGGAUUAUGUCGGUCUCAUUAUGUUCUCCUUUUUGUAUUUGAAAUCAAAUAGUUAUAAUUCAUUAAUGCUACAUUCCUCCGCAGUCUUCUUUAUAUGUUGUUCAAUUAAAAUUCAAUUUGGUUUAUAUAGUGCCAAACCACAAAAACAGUGGCCUCAGGGACUUUAUAUUUUAAGGUAAAGACCUACAAUAAUUCAGAGAAAACAUACGUCCCCUUAUGAGCCAAGAGUUGGCAACAGUGGAAAGGAAAAACUCCCUUUUAACAGGAAAUAACCUCUGCAAGAACCAGGAUCAAGGAGGGGCAAUCAUCUGCCACGACUGGUUGGGGGUGAGGGAAGGGAGACAGGACAAAGACAUGCAGUGGUAGAGAGUCAGAGAUUAUUAAUAACUAAUGGUUAAAUGCAGAGUGGUGUCAUUGGCCCAGGUUGUUUUAUUGAUGUCAGGAUUUCUUGAAAUAGUUUGAAAGUGUCUUGUCAUUUAAAAGGUAUUUAAACUUGUUUGUUCAAACCCUUCUCCUAUGUGAACUCCUGCUUAUUAAACAUUGCAAAACAGGCAUACACUGAAAGUAUCCUGCAGUAUUUUGAUGUCACUUUUCAUGCAAAACUGAAAUAAUUUUCUUUAAUGAGAAUGAAUUGUUUAAUCAACCUUCUUGUUUAAUGCAAUGAUUUUAUAAUUUAAAUAUUAUAUUAAUUAUGCUUUAAAUUUCCAUGUGCUUAAACAGCAUGCACCCUCAAACGAAUGGCGUCUUUUCAUCUGCUAGUAACCACUUCCUUUUAUUGUCACUACCUUGACAAAGAUAUGUGCAAGUAGUGGUUAAGCUUCACUUUAUCUGUCUGUGGUUAUGUGAUCUUUAUUCUACUAGCUGUGUGCAACGACCUGACUGCUCCAACACAAGACUGUUUUAAACAUAUUUUCUCUGAGUUUUUUUUAUAUUGUUUCCAAAGGAAGAUUUGUUUUGUAGAUUUGUUUUUCCACUUAAAGUUUCAAAGCCUGUAAUUUACAGUGCACACUGUAAAUUACUAAUGAAAUGAUUGCAUAUUAACACCAGGUGACAAACGUUAAAAGAAAACGAUAUUUUUGUGUUUAGCAUGUCUGCGAUCCAUCCUGAGUCUCUCCUCUUUAAUUUGUACUGAUAAUGUGGACUGUUUGUCUCUGACACCUUUGAAAAAUGUGGGUUUCCUGUUCACGCUCUUUCUUUGCAGCUAAGUCUGUAAGACCCUGUGUGUAGACUUAAAUAAAAGAAAUAUCAUGUGGUG
ensembl:lncRNA